rnacentral:lncRNA from 1 species
GCUUUGGGCGGAGCCUUUGUGCUGGCGCCCAGCCGCUGGACGCGGUAGAAGGGCAGACAGAACGCAGAUCUGGGGUUGGGGCUGUUGCAGUGUCCGCCGGAGCGGUUUGGGAAGUGCACGGGGCGACGAUGGCGGCGGAGCGGCAGGAGGCGUUGAGGGAGUUCUUGGCGGUGAAGGGCACUGAGGAGGUCAGGACCCUUUCUUCCUGGAGUCGGCUGGCUGGGACCUGCAGGUAGCGCCGCGAGGCGGGCCGCUUCGGGCGGGCUGGGGAAUGCGGAGUGCGGCGUCGGCUCUUUGAUCCCUAAGCAGCCGAAGCGCACCUUCAUCCCUGCGGGGCUGGGCCCUGCCUGGCCCAGGCCUCAUGGUGUCUGGGGUCGCUUGCCACGCGUCGUCGGCCUGGCUUGGAAGUUCAUGGACGCGGGCAGGCCCGGCCUGCUUUUCAGGGCCUCCGUUUUCCGGCGGGCUCGCAGUGUUAGCGAGACUUUGGGCGCUGCGGCAGUCUGCGUGGAGUCGUCGCCUGGUGACGUGGCUGCCGCGGCGAGUGCCUUCUGGUGGCCACAUUCAGUCGAGUGCCUGGCUUCCAGAUGGAGCCCCACCGAGGUGGCAGUGGCCUUCCAAUUCCGCUUCUGCAAGGAUGCUGUGCUGGUGGGGGAAACCCUGCAGGGCAUCAGCCCACGCCCCACUCUUGCCUAAUUGCAGGGAGAAACUACCUGUGGGAUUGUGGCACAGGUUUGGGAUCUCUGCACAUUUCGUCGUUAACUGUAAAAUGGGAAUUUAUUAGGACUUACUGUCUUGUUCACAGGCGGUAGUAAAUAGUCACCAAGGAAUUAAUUUAGAAGACAAAGCUCCACCAGGCAUGAAAUAUUGCACACUUUUGAUCCCUAGAGCAACGCCCAUGUCUUAGUGCUCAGAAACACAGUAAUUAAUGUUAGAAAGAACUGAUUGCAUAAAUGUCCUUGGCCAGCCUACAUCUUAGGUAGAUGAUGAUGACUAAUAUUUCUUGAGUAUCUCCAACAAGCCAGGCACUGUUCAGCAUUACAAAAUGUCUCAUUUACAUGUCUCACGUUGCAGCUGAGACUUGGAGGAUAAAAAACUUGAAGAACUCACUAACUACUAAAACAGGUAAAGACUAACCCUGUCUUAUGGAUGAGGAAUUGGACCCUCAAAGGGACACCAAAUGUGCUCACUGUGUGAGCUUUCUGAUGUAACCAUGUCUACUGACUGUAAUAUUUAAAUAGCUUCCCAAUCAUUAGGGAUUUUUAUUCCUGUAACUCUUUCAGCACUCUGGAGGCAGAAGAUCUCUGAAUUUGAGACCAGCCUGAUCUACAUAGUUCCAGGAGUAAAUAGUCCCUCUUUCAAAAACAUAACAAACAGAAAGAGGUCAGAUGCUCUUAAAGGCGCUGUGAAGCCUCUGUGCUUAGCGGAAAUACAUGAGAGAAAAGCUUCUAUCCCAGUAGAGCAUCUGAACUGAGGCUCUUACCUGUGUGGUAACUUGACUAGCAGUGCCAGGACUUGAAUGCAGGUUGUCUAAAUGUCAGUUUAGUACAACUCCUACGAUGGCACAUGACUUCCCAGAAGCUGGUUAUGUUACAUGAAGAAUACCUUCAGACUGAUUGUCCCAUGACAGCUCAUUUCUUCCUAUACAGUUGGUUACCUUUUAGACAGGAGGUGCCUCCUCCAUCUCUGUGGAACUUCAUUGUUCUGUCUUCUCUCUUUGUGUGGAGAAUGUGUGAUAAAUCAAUGCCUUCUCGUUGAGUUGGCUACAGUCACAAAUGACCAAAGGACUCAUAUGAAAGGCUUCCACAUGUGUAAAGCUAAGGUGACUGCGUUAAUUUUAGUGAUUAUCUCCUUAAGUUUUAUAGGUUUGGUGGAACAGCAUCUCCAUUUCAAACAGGAACCGGGCUUCACAAAGAGAGGAAAUGUAGCAUCUGUCCCUAUACUCUUCUUCCUCUUAGAACAUAAGCGUGAGGGCCUGAGCAUGCUGCCUGGGGUUCAACAUGACCCCACUUCUUACCUCCAGAAACUGUCUUCAUUUUGCAGUCCAUUCGUGCCAGCUAUAAAGUGAGACAAUAAUAAUACUAAUUAUGAAAUUCUGAGUAGAUUAAAUGAAUUAAUAUGUAGUGUACAGAUGACCUGACACAUGAAUAAAUAAUAGUUCAUGGUCUUCCUUUA